GUUCAUACAUCAGGAGUGACAGGUGAGUUUUUCCCACAUUCUCUGUCUCCCUAACAAAAUGAAUUUGUGUUUUACAGCUAACAGGAGUGGUUCUCCAAGCAGCCAAGCGACUCCAGAUUAACGUCUAUGUAGAGCAAAUUCCCAACUUCAGUCAAACGGGAAAUGUAAGGACAGUAGUCUUCCCUGUGGCUUAUCUGAAUGAGAGCGCCACCAUUGAUGACGCAGCAGCCAAGAAGCUAAAGGGGAUUGGUGUUCAGCAAAACGUUGUGGAGAACAUUCCCUUCAUGCUGAUUGGCCUGGCCAUCAUUGUGGGAGGAAUCUUCAUGUUCUUGGUGUGUCAACAGAAAGUCCCCGAGAGCACUGCUGCUGAACGACAGCCCCUGCUCUCAUCGUAACAGCAAACAGGACAUGGAAGGAGGAAGAUUGCCUUGGUUGCAAUACAGUUCAAGGGGUUCAACCGUUAAUUGUCAAGUAACACUAAUACAAUGAUUUUCAUGUUUUAUUCUAUUUUCACAUUCAUGGUUUUAAGAAAAUGGGGAAAACCAAGUGGGAAAAAAUAAUUGGGAAAAACUGUCUUCUUGUUGCAUUUGUUGCUAGGUUUGGAGGAUAAUGUCUUCAUUUCAAGUUGUAAUGAUGCUGAAAUCCACAUUUUUCAGUCAGUCUUAAAUUGAGCUUGUUUUUAUUUUAACUCCUAACUAUGGGAUUUUUGAAUUGGAAUAACAUGAGGUGAAUUAAACCCCUUAAACAACCCAGCUCUGAAUUAAUCAAACAUCCUGGAAGUGGGAAAAACACUGUGCUGCAAAGUGGCCAUAUAUGUGUGAGCUGUUGCUGCAUUUCUGAAUGUAAAAGACGUUGUGUCGAUCUGCAAGGCAACUGGCUAGAGCUUGAACAGUUACUAGAUUCCCAGACUAGUUUGGGGAUUCAGAGUUAGUUUUAAAAAGCAAGAAAAAAUAGUAUUAAGAAGCCAGGUUGGUUGUAUGUUAUAAUGAAGUGGAUGUAAAAGGUCAGGCUAGUAGUGCAGCCUGUUCGAAGUGCAGAUUACUUUGGGCUUGUCAUUCAGCCUUUUGGCUUCAGAUGCUAUGGCGAUGUGGUCUUGUUCAUUUUAAAAUGAUGUUCUGUGUUGUAGCCAAGCUCAGUAAUCUACAGUAUAUAUACAUGUGUGUCUAGUGUGUCCUCCUUGUGAUCCAAUCAGUAUUAAUCCAACACUGGCAGGAUAAAGCAAGGCCUUCUGCCUGUUGUGAAUGUCAAAUACAAUAUUAUUUCAGUAUUUGACAUUCAUUCAUUUUAAUUCCAGUACUGUCAUAAAUAUAUUAAUAUAAUUUCUACUGAUUACGUUACUGAUUGCUGAAACCGGUGUAUGAAGCUUUGUAGUAGUGACACUGACAAAAACACAAAAACUUUUGAAGCACUUAGACUGAUUUUGUUUUCUCCCCAGGUUAACUUCUGUAGCAUUUUAUAACUUUAUUGAAGCAUUUUUUAAAAUAAACACAUUGUUUACCUAUUGGCCUAUGAAUUUUUAGAGCACUUAUGACUAAAUGUUGUUUUUCUGUCCAACGUUGCACACAGUUCUGCUAUAAUAUAGAUGUUUUUGCCAUUUCAGUGACUACUUUUCACUGACAAAAUCUCAUGUGUUGAAUUUCUUUUUUUGAGUGUGUGUAUGUUUGCUUUGUACCUAAAAGAGAACAUUGUUUACACUACUACUAUUACCUGGCAAAAUCAGCACUUAACUAUAAUCACGAUUUAUACACAAAUCUCUCAUUAGGUCACACAUCUGACAGUUUGCACGUUGUCAUUUGCUAUGACUCAACAAUAAACUUUCUGUGCUAUUCCCUGA